AUAAAGGGGAAUAAUACAAAAUUAGCUUCGCUUGCGAAAGCGUAAUUUUGUAUUCAUGACCCUAACACAGAUGAGCAAGUAGUGAUUUUCGUUAGAAAAUCAACGGAUUGCGAAUCGGUGUAGAAUUGCGGGAGCUGCAGCGCAGCGGAGCAAUUCGUUAUAU
rnacentral:sRNA from 1 species